rnacentral:tRNA from 1 species
GCCCUCGUGGUGGAAUGGCAUACACGGCAGGUUGAGGGCCUGUGCCCAUUUGGGCGUGCUGGUUCGAAUCCAGUCGAGGGCA